UUACCAUGCAGUCGAACGCACUCUUCGGAGUGAGUGGCAGACGGGUGAGUAAUGCGUGGGAAUCUACCUAGUUCUACGGAAUAACAGUUGGAAACGACUGCUAAUACCGUAUACGCCCUACGGGGGAAAGAUUUAUCGGAAUUAGAUGAGCCCACGUAAGAUUAGCUAGUUGGUGAGGUAAUGGCUCACCAAGGCGACGAUCUUUAGCUGGUCUGAGAGGAUGAUCAGCCACACUGGGACUGAGACACGGCCCAGACUCCUACGGGAGGCAGCAGUGGGGAAUAUUGGACAAUGGGCGCAAGCCUGAUCCAGCCAUGCCGCGUGAGUGAUGAAGGCCUUAGGGUUGUAAAGCUCUUUCAGUGGGGAAGAUAAUGACGGUACCCACAGAAGAAGCCCCGGCUAACUUCGUGCCAGCA
rnacentral:rRNA from 1 species